rnacentral:rRNA from 1 species
UACGUAGGGACCGAGCGUUGUCCGGAAUCAUUGGGCGUAAAGAGCGUGUAGGCGGCCAACUAAGUCCUGCGUGAAAUCUCGGGGCUCAACCCCGAGCGGUCGUGGGAAACUGGUUGGCUAGAGUGCGGGAGAGGAGAGUGUAAUUCCUGGUGUAGCGGUGAAAUGCGCAGAUAUCAGGAAGAACACCCGUGGCGAAGGCGGCUCUCUGGAACGCAACUGACGCUGAGACGCGAAAGCGUGGGGAGCAAACAGG